rnacentral:rRNA from 1 species
CCUACGGGUGGCAGCAGUCGGGAAUAUUGCGCAAUGGAGGAAACUCUGACGCAGUGACGCCGCGUGCAGGAAGAAGGUUUUCGGAUUGUAAACUGCUUUAGACAGGGAAGAAAAAAGACAGUACCUGUAGAAUAAGCUCCGGCUAACUACGUGCCAGCAGCCGCGGUAAUACGUAGGGAGCAAGCGUUAUCCGGAUUUAUUGGGUGUAAAGGGUGCGUAGACGGAGAAGCAAGUUAGUUGUGAAAACUACGGGCUUAACUUGUAGACUGCAGUUGAAACUGGUUUUCUUGAGUGAAGUAGAGGUUGGCGGAAUUCCGAGUGUAGCGGUGAAAUGCGUAGAUAUUCGGAGGAACACCGGUGGCGAAGGCGGCCAACUGGGCUUUAACUGACGCUGAGGCUCGAAAGUGUGGGGAGCAAACAGGAUUAGAUACCCUUGUAGUC